UUUGUUGCUAUAGUAUGUAUUCCAUAUUUUUUUUCUUAUUAGCAAUGGGAUGAAAUUGCCUAGCAAUUGAUGCAAAAUAUCGAAUGAGAAUUAUUAAAGUUUGGUUGUAUGAACUUUGUUGCAAAAUGUUAUUGUAAGACUAAUUUGGUUGUAUGAAAUUUAUUUCAAUGUUUUAGGACUACAACUAUUAAAUUUUCUGUGUUUAAAAACCAUUUUAGGUUUAUCAAAUUAGUUUAUUUUAAUUUUUUAAUGUUUGUAGCAAUCUGCAGAUGUUAACAAAAACAAACAUGUUUGUUAUUACACUCUGCAGUCGUUUGGUCCACCUCUUCUGCUACAGAGGUUUAUAGAGGUGGUCCGCAGACUUUUUGAAUUUUACCUUCAGAAAAACGAACAACACCUUAGACUUCAUCAUCUUCAUAUACAAAAGCCACUACCACCAAGCCUCACGAUUUCCGUUCAUCAUCAUCCAUACAUCCACAAUCAUCGACUUCAUAUUUUAUACAAAAUGCUCGACUUCUAAUCUCAUCAACGUCGGUGAUGAGAAGGAAAGGCGCACCAAAUCAGGUUCGUCUUGGGGUUCGGAAAUAUCCUAGAAAUUCUUACUUUUGGUAUACAUCUUCAGCCCCUCGUAGCCUAUGUUAGUUAUUUUAAAAUUAGAAAUCUAAGUUUGGCGGUCUCAAGAUGCGUCGAGAGGGGAAGUGAGGAAAAAUGCUUGGUUUGCCGAAAUCAGAGUUAGUUCAUCUUGACCUUUGUCAUCACCAGAGGCCACAACAAUGAUCCAACCCUUAAUUCCCUUUCCCUAACUUUUUCCCUUCGUACGAGAAAAUGUGGUGACUAUUGUUCAAUACAUACCACAAAUGAAAUUCGAUUACAAGAUGUUAUGUGUAUCAAGAAAAAUUGAAAGGUUGUCGUCCCGAUAUCCGAUCCAAAUUGACCCCUCUUAUUCGACUAAGGUUUAUCGUCGUCUUCCUCUGUGCGAGAGACGCCUCCCCAUCUUCAACCUCUUCACCUGGUUAGUUUUCUUACAAUGGUUUUUACUCAUUUGAGCCUUAAAUCUUCCUCUUCUUCUAGGGUUUGAACGGCCCCUCUUAUGUUGGGGAUAGAACGACCCAUCUGAUGUUUCCUUAUUCUUCUUGCCUCAAUGAAUCAUCAUUCACCUAUGAUUAUUUCUGAUGAUUAAUUCCUUUCAAGGAAUUUGGUUGUGUUUCUCUAUGUACCCAUUUGUGUUUUCUAACAUUUUAUGAUAAUUUUAAGAGAAAUAAAUUAGUUUAAUUUCUUUAGUAUCUUGUAAAGCCUUGAAAUUCAUUGAUAAGUGUCUACUUAUGAACUGUUUUGGUUAUGCAGAAACUUAAUCUGAAACCAUUACUCACAAGAUUGAAGUUUUUUUCCCAAGAUUGUAUGUUUAAAACAAAGAUUCUUAUUCUUAGUAUUAUCAAAUCAUUCAUUUUAAUUUUGAUCGAAUUUGAUUAUUGCUUAUAGAUAUUUUUGUUUUUUAUAGAACCUUUCAUUGGGUUGAUACGAAGAAAAUGAGAACAAGUGACAAUCUUUAAAAAAAUGACAACAUUUCUUCAAGAAUAAAGAGUAUUUUCUCAAGAAUGAAGGAUAUUUUUCAAAAAUGAAGCAUGUUAUUUCGUAUUCUUCCAAGAAUGAAAUGUUCCUUUGAUGAAUAUUCUAAUUCUUUUUAGGAAUGGUUAUACUUUAGUAGAAUUUUUAUUGAAUUCGAUGUAAAUACAAUGUUCCAACCUAUUCUUUGAAAAAUGACACCAUUUCCUUUCUUAUAAAUUUUAAGAAUGAAAAUUGUAUUCUUUAAUAAAAUUUAAAAUGAAAUAAAUACUUUAAUUAAUGUGUUUGUAUAUUUACUAAAGUUUGGUUCAAAGC
rnacentral:lncRNA from 1 species